CCUACGUGAGGCAGCAGUGGGGAAUAUUGCACAAUGGGGGAAACCCUGAUGCAGCGACGCCGCGUGAGUGAGGAAGUAUUUCGGUAUGUAAAGCUCUAUCAGCAGGGAAGAAAAUGACGGUACCUGACUAAGAAGCCCCGGCUAACUACGUGCCAGCAGCCGCGGUAAUACGUAGGGGGCAAGCGUUAUCCGGAUUUACUGGGUGUAAAGGGAGCGUAGACGGCUAGUCAAGUCAGAAGUGAAAGCCCAGGGCUCAACCUUGGGACUGCUUUUGAAACUGAGUAGCUAGAGUGCAGGAGAGGUAAGCGGAAUUCCUAGUGGAGCGGUGAAAUGCGUAGAUAUUAGGAGGAACACCGAUUGCGAAGGCAGCUUACCAAACUACGACUGACGUUGAGGCACGAAAGCGUGGGGAGCAAACAGGAUUAGAUACCCCAGUAGUC
rnacentral:rRNA from 1 species